rnacentral:tRNA from 1 species
GGGUCCGUAGUCUAACGGUUAGGACGCCACUCUUACAAAGUGGAGAUCGCAGUUCAAUUCUGCGCGGACCCA